rnacentral:rRNA from 1 species
CGGUUAAGUUAGAAAGGGCGCACGGUGGAUGCCUUGGCACUAGGAGCCGAUGAAGGACGGGACGAACACCGAUAUGCUUCGGGGAGCUGUAAGCAAGCUUUGAUCCGGAGAUUUCCGAAUGGGGAAACCCACCACUCGUAAUGGAGUGGUAUCCAUAUCUGAAUACAUAGGAUAUGAGAAGGCAGACCCGGGGAACUGAAACAUCUAAGUACCCGGAGGAAGAGAAAGCAAAUGCGAUUCCCUGAGUAGCGGCGAGCGAAACGGGACCAGCCCAAACCAAGAGGCUUGCCUCUUGGGGUUGUAGGACACUCUGUACGGAGUUACAAAGGAACGAGGUAGAUGAAGAGGUCUGGAAAGGCCCGCCAUAGGAGGUAACAGCCCUGUAGUCAAAACUUCGUUCUCUCCUGAGUGGAUCCUGAGUACGGCGGAACACGUGAAAUUCCGUCGGAAUCCGGGAGGACCAUCUCCCAAGGCUAAAUACUCCCUAGUGACCGAUAGUGAACCAGUACCGUGAGGGAAAGGUGAAAAGCACCCCGGAAGGGGAGUGAAAGAGAUCCUGAAACCGUGUGCCUACAAGUAGUCAGAGCCCGUUAACGGGUGAUGGCGUGCCUUUUGUAGAAUGAACCGGCGAGUUACGAUCCCGUGCAAGGUUAAGCAGAAGAUGCGGAGCCGCAGCGAAAGCGAGUCUGAAUAGGGCGAAUUGAGUACGUGGUCGUAGACCCGAAACCAGGUGAUCUACCCAUGUCCAGGGUGAAGUUCAGGUAACACUGAAUGGAGGCCCGAACCCACGCACGUUGAAAAGUGCGGGGAUGAGGUGUGGGUAGGGGUGAAAUGCCAAUCGAACCUGGAGAUAGCUGGUUCUCUCCGAAAUAGCUCUAGGGCUAGCCUCAAGGUAAGAGUCUCGGAGGUAGAGCACUGAUUGGACUAGGGGCCCCUACCGGGUUACCGAAUUCAGUCAAACUCCGAAUGCCGAUGACUUAUCCUUGGGAGUCAGACUGCGAGUGAUAAGAUCCGUAGUCGAAAGGGAACCAGCCCAGACCGCCAGCUAAGGUCCCAAAGUAUACGUUAAGUGGAAAAGGAUGUGGAGUUGCUUAGACAACCAGGAUGUUGGCUUAGAAGCAGCCACCAUUUAAAGAGUGCGUAAUAGCUCACUGGUCGAGUGACUCUGCGCCGAAAAUGUACCGGGGCUAAACGUAUCACCGAAGCUGCGGACUGUUCUUCGAACAGUGGUAGGAGAGCGUUCUAAGGGCUGUGAAGCAAGACCGGAAGGACUUGUGGAGCGCUUAGAAGUGAGAAUGCCGGUAUGAGUAGCGAAAGAGGGGUGAGAAUCCCCUCCACCGAAUGCCUAAGGUUUCCUGAGGAAGGCUCGUCCGCUCAGGGUUAGUCGGGACCUAAGCCGAGGCCGAAAGGCGUAGGCGAUGGAUAACAGGUUGAUAUUCCUGUACCACCUCCUCACCAUUUGAGCAAUGGGGGGACGCAGGAGGAUAGGGUAAGCGCGGUAUUGGAUAUCCGCGUCCAAGCAGUUAGGCUGGGAAAUAGGCAAAUCCGUUUCCCGUGAAGGCUGAGCUGUGAUGGCGAGCGAAUUAUAGUAGCGAAGUUCCUGAUUCCACACUGCCAAGAAAAGCCUCUAGCGAGGUGAGAGGUGCCCGUACCGCAAACCGACACAGGUAGGCGAGGAGAGAAUCCUAAGGUGAUCGAGAGAACUCUCGUUAAGGAACUCGGCAAAAUGACCCCGUAACUUCGGGAGAAGGGGUGCUCUGUUAGGGUGCAAGCCCGAGAGAGCCGCAGUGAAUAGGCCCAGGCGACUGUUUAGCAAAAACACAGGUCUCUGCGAAGCCGUAAGGCGAAGUAUAGGGGCUGACGCCUGCCCGGUGCUGGAAGGUUAAGAGGAGCGCUUAGCGUAAGCGAAGGUGCGAAUUGAAGCCCCAGUAAACGGCGGCCGUAACUAUAACGGUCCUAAGGUAGCGAAAUUCCUUGUCGGGUAAGUUCCGACCCGCACGAAAGGCGCAACGAUCUGGGCACUGUCUCAACGAGAGACUCGGUGAAAUUAUAGUACCUGUGAAGAUGCAGGUUACCCGCGACAGGACGGAAAGACCCCGUGGAGCUUUACUGCAGCCUGAUAUUGAAUGUUGGUACAGCUUGUACAGGAUAGGUAGGAGCCUUGGAAACCGGAGCGCCAGCUUCGGUGGAGGCAUCGGUGGGAUACUACCCUGGCUGUAUUGACCUUCUAACCCGCCGCCCUUAUCGGGCGGGGAGACAGUGUCAGGUGGGCAGUUUGACUGGGGCGGUCGCCUCCUAAAAGGGAACGGAGGCGCCCAAAGGUUCCCUCAGAAUGGUUGGAAAUCAUUCGCAGAGUGUAAAGGCACAAGGGAGCUUGACUGCGAGACCUACAAGUCGAGCAGGGACGAAAGUCGGGCUUAGUGAUCCGGUGGUUCCGCAUGGAAGGGCCAUCGCUCAACGGAUAAAAGCUACCCCGGGGAUAACAGGCUUAUCUCCCCCAAGAGUCCACAUCGACGGGGAGGUUUGGCACCUCGAUGUCGGCUCAUCGCAUCCUGGGGCUGUAGUCGGUCCCAAGGGUUGGGCUGUUCGCCCAUUAAAGCGGUACGCGAGCUGGGUUCAGAACGUCGUGAGACAGUUCGGUCCCUAUCCGGCGCGGGCGCAGGAAAUUUGAGAGGAGCUGUCCUUAGUACGAGAGGACCGGGAUGGACGCACCGCUGGUGUACCAGUUGUUCUGCCAAGGGCAUCGCUGGGUAGCUAUGUGCGGACGGGAUACGUGCUGAAAGCAUCUAAGCAUGAAGCCCCCCUCAAGAUGAGAUUUCCCAUUCCGCAAGGAAGUAAGAUCCCUGAAAGAUGAUCAGGUUGAUAGGUCUGAGGUGGAAGUGUGGCGACACAUGGAGCUGACAGAUACUAAUCGAUCGAGGACUUAACCAAUUU